rnacentral:rRNA from 1 species
UACGAAGGGGGCUAGCGUUACUCGGAAUUACUGGGCGUAAAGCGUGCGUAGGCGGCUUGGUAAGUUGGAAGUGAAAGCCUAGGGCUCAACCCUAGAACUGCUUUCAAAACUGCCUGGCUAGAGUUCUAUAGGGGAUAGCGGAAUUCCUAGUGUAGAGGUGAAAUUCGUAGAUAUUAGGAGGAACACCGAAAGCGAAAGCGGCUAUCUGGAUAGAUACUGACGCUGUCGCACGAAAGCGUGGGGAGCAAACAGG